rnacentral:rRNA from 1 species
AGUGAACGCUGGCGGUAGGCCUAACACAUGCAAGUCGAACGGCAGCACAGUAAGAGCUUGCUCUUACGGGUGGCGAGUGGCGGACGGGUGAGGAAUACAUCGGAAUCUACUUUUUCGUGGGGGAUAACGUAGGGAAACUUACGCUAAUACCGCAUACGACCUACGGGUGAAAGCAGGGGAUCUUCGGACCUUGCGCGAUUGAAUGAGCCGAUGUCGGAUUAGCUAGUUGGCGGGGUAAAGGCCCACCAAGGCGACGAUCCGUAGCUGGUCUGAGAGGAUGAUCAGCCACACUGGAACUGGGACACGGUCCAGACUCCUACGGGAGGCAGCAGUGGGGAAUAUUGGACAAUGGGUGCAAGCCUGAUCCAGCCAUACCGCGUGGGUGAAGAAGGCCUUCGGGUUGUAAAGCCCUUUUGUUGGGAAAGGAAAGCAGCAGGUUAAUACCCCGCUGUUCUGACGGUACCCAAAGAAUAAGCACCGGCUAACUUCGUG